UACGGAGGGAGCUAGCGUUAUUCGGAAUCACUGGGCGUAAAGGGUGCGUAGGCGGGUCUUUAAGUCAGGGGUGAAAUCCUGGAGCUCAACUCCAGAACUGCCUUUGAUACUGAAGAUCUUGAGUUCGGGAGAGGUGAGUGGAACUGCGAGUGUAGAGGUGAAAUUCGUAGAUAUUCGCAAGAACACCAGUGGCGAAGGCGGCUCACUGGCCCGAUACUGACGCUGAGGCACGAAAGCGUGGGGAGCAAACAGGG
rnacentral:rRNA from 1 species